rnacentral:rRNA from 1 species
AGAAUACCAAGGCGCUUGAGAGAACUCGGGUGAAGGAACUAGGCAAAAUGGUGCCGUAACUUCGGGAGAAGGCACGCUGAUAUGUAGGUGAAGUCCCUCGCGGAUGGAGCUGAAAUCAGUCGAAGAUACCAGCUGGCUGCAACUGUUUAUUAAAAACACAGCACUGUGCAAACACGAAAGUGGACGUAUACGGUGUGACGCCUGCCCGGUGCCGGAAGGUUAAUUGAUGGGGUCAGCGCAAGCGAAGCUCUUGAUCGAAGCCCCGGUAAACGGCGGCCGUAACUAUAACGGUCCUAAGGUAGCGAAAUUCCUUGUCGGGUAAGUUCCGACCUGCACGAAUGGCGUAAUGAUGGCCAGGCUGUCUCCACCCGAGACUCAGUGAAAUUGAACUCGCUGUGAAGAUGCAGUGUACCCGCGGCAAGACGGAAAGACCCCGUGAACCUUUACUAUAGCUUGACACUGAACAUUGAGCCUUGAUGUGUAGGAUAGGUGGGAGGCUUUGAAGUGUGGACGCCAGUCUGCAUGGAGCCGACCUUGAAAUACCACCCUUUAAUGUUUGAUGUUCUAACGUGGACCCGUGAUCCGGGUUGCGGACAGUGUCUGGUGGGUAGUUUGACUGGGGCGGUCUCCUCCUAAAGAGUAACGGAGGAGCACGAAGGUUGGCUAAUCCUGGUCGGACAUCAGGAGGUUAGUGCAAUGGCAUAAGCCAGCUUGACUGCGAGCGUGACGGCGCGAGCAGGUGCGAAAGCAGGUCAUAGUGAUCCGGUGGUUCUGAAUGGAAGGGCCAUCGCUCAACGGAUAAAAGGUACUCCGGGGAUAACAGGCUGAUACCGCCCAAGAGUUCAUAUCGACGGCGGUGUUUGGCACCUCGAUGUCGGCUCAUCACAUCCUGGGGCUGAAGUAGGUCCCAAGGGUAUGGCUGUUCGCCAUUUAAAGUGGUACGCGAGCUGGGUUUAGAACGUCGUGAGACAGUUCGGUCCCUAUCUGCCGUGGGCGCUGGAGAACUGAGGGGGGCUGCUCCUAGUACGAGAGGACCGGAGUGGACGCAUCACUGGUGUUCGGGUUGUCAUGCCAAUGGCACUGCCCGGUAGCUAAAUGCGGAAGAGAUAAGUGCUGAAAGCAUCUAAGCACGAAACUUGCCCCGAGAUGAGUUCUCCCUGACCCUUUAAGGGUCCUGAAGGAACGUUGAAGACGACGACGUUGAUAGGCCGGGUGUGUAAGCGCAGCGAUGCGUUGAGCUAACCGGUACUAAUGAACCGUGAGGCUUAACCUU